UUUUCAGCUCCAGAUAUAUGAACCUAGGGAUCAGGAUUAUGGGCUGCUAGACAAAACAAUGUCCAAGUCCUUUUCCAACUCAAGACUUCAUUUUGCUGAUGUGGAAACUGAGGCCCAGAAAGGGAAGUGUUUUGCCCAGGAUCCUACAGAAGCUAUGUGAUGAAUUGGACCCUGCAUCCCCAAUAGCUGGAAAGAGAGAAGCACAAGAAAUAUUUCUUCAGUGACUGUCAACAGUGAAUCUGAAGGAGAUCAGCCUUAUUAGGGGCUAGAAAUGAGCCAGUCACAUCUCCAUUCUAGGGAGACUUUCAGGUGCUUGUUAUUGGUCAGGGGACAAGGUCUUGGGGGGUGAAGGUGGGUGGGAAAGGAGAGUGAUGUGU
rnacentral:lncRNA from 1 species